rnacentral:rRNA from 1 species
GUAAGACUGGGAUAACUCCGGGAAACCGGGGCUAAUACCGGAUGGUUGUUGAACCGCAUGGUUCAGACAUAAAAGGUGGCUUCGGCUACCACUUACAGAUGGACCCGCGGCGCAUUAGCUAGUUGGUGAGGUAACGGCUCACCAAGGCGACGAUGCGUAGCCGACCUGAGAGGGUGAUCGGCCACACUGGGACUGAGACACGGCCCAGACUCCUACGGGAGGCAGCAGUAGGGAAUCUUCCGAAUGGACGAAAGUCUGACGGAGCAACGCCGCGUGAGUGAUGAAGGUUUUCGGAUCGUAAAGCUCUGUUGUUAGGGAAGAACAAGUGCCGUUCAAAUAGGGCGGCACCUUGACGGUACCUAACCAGAAAGCCACGGCUAACUACGUGCAGCAGCCGCGGUAAUACGUAGGUGGCAAGCGUUGUCCGGAAUUAUUGGGCGUAAAGGGCUCGCAGGCGGUUUCUUAAGUCUGAUGUGAAAGCCCCCGGCUCAACCGGGGAGGGUCAUUGGAAACUGGGGAACUUGAGUGCAGAAGAGGAGAGUGGAAUUCCACGUGUAGCGGUGAAAUGCGUAGAGAUGUGGAGGAACACCAGUGGCGAAGGCGACUCUCUGGUCUGUAACUGACGCUGAGGAGCGAAAGCGUGGGGAGCGAACAGGAUUAGAUACCCUGGUAGUCCACGCCGUAAACGAUGAGUGCUAAGUGUUAGGGGGUUUCCGCCCCUUAGUGCUGCAGCUAACGCAUUAAGCACUCCGCCUGGGGAGUACGGUCGCAAGACUGAAACUCAAAGGAAUUGACGGGGGCCCGCACAAGCGGUGGAGCAUGUGGUUUAAUUCGAAGCAACGCGAAGAACCUUACCAGGUCUUGACAUCCUCUGACAAUCCUAGAGAUAGGACGUCCCCUUCGGGGGCAGAGUGACAGGUGGUGCAUGGUUGUCGUCAGCUCGUGUCGUGAGAUGUUGGGUUAAGUCCCGCAACGAGCGCAACCCUUGAUCUUAGUUGCCAGCAUUCAGUUGGGCACUCUAAGGUGACUGCCGGUGACAAACCGGAGGAAGGUGGGGAUGACGUCAAAUCAUCAUGCCCCUUAUGACCUGGGCUACACACGUGCUACAAUGGGCAGAACAAAGGGCAGCGAAACCGCGAGGUUAAGCCAAUCCCACAAAUCUGUUCUCAGUUCGGAUCGCAGUCUGCAACUCGACUGCGUGAAGCUGGAAUCGCUAGUAAUCGCGGAUCAGCAUGC